rnacentral:rRNA from 1 species
CACGUAUGGGGCGAGCGUUGUUCGGAAUUAUUGGGCGUAAAGGGUAUGCAGGCGGUUUUGUAAGUCUGGUGUGCAAUCCCUCAGCUUAACUGAGGAUCCGCGCUGGAAACUGUGAGACUAGAGUACAGGAAGGGGAGUUGGAAUUCCAGGUGUAGGGGUGAAAUCUGUAGAUAUCUGGAAGAACAUCAGUGGCGAAGGCGAACUCCUGGCCAUGUACUGACGCUGAGAUACGAAAGCGUGGGGAGCAAACAGG